rnacentral:snoRNA from 1 species
AUUCCAUGGUGCAGGCAUGAAGCAACAAAUCUAUUCAGCCUUUCCCUAGAUUCAUAUAAGCUCUCGUCAGGAUUCUGCCUGAUUCGACUUAUCUCCUUUCUGAUGUU